rnacentral:rRNA from 1 species
CCUACGGGUGGCAGCAGUGGGGAAUAUUGGACAAUGGGCGAAAGCCUGAUCCAGCCAUGCCGCGUGUGUGAAGAAGGCCUUCGGGUUGUAAAGCACUUUCAGUGGGGAAGAAAGCCUUGGGGCUAAUACCCUCGAGGAAGGACAUCACCCACAGAAGAAGCACCGGCUAACUCCGUGCCAGCAGCCGCGGUAAUACGGAGGGUGCGAGCGUUAAUCGGAAUUACUGGGCGUAAAGCGCGCGUAGGCGGUCUGAUAAGCCGGUUGUGAAAGCCCCGGGCUCAACCUGGGAACGGCGUCCGGAACUGUCAGGCUAGAGUGCAGGAGAGGAAGGUAGAAUUCCCGGUGUAGCGGUGCAAUGCGUAGAGAUCGGGAGGAAUACCAGUGGCGAAGGCGGCCUUCUGGACUGACACUGACGCUGAGGUGCGAAAGCGUGGGUAGCAAACAGGAUUAGAUACCCCAGUAGUC